rnacentral:lncRNA from 1 species
GUAUUACAGCUAGGCCAAAAGGUGAAGCAGGGACACGAAGGCAUUCCAGUGUGCAGUCUCUGUAAAACCCACCAGAACCAGUUCAUAAUAAGUGAUCUCUCAUCAGAAGAAAGUUACAGAAAUCAGUCUGUUGUCCAAUCAAGGCUCGUGGAACAGGGUGUCAGUUAGUGAGCAUCUGGUGGAACUCCUAAAGAAGAAAUCAUCCAUUCAGUGAGAGCAAAUGAACACUCCAACAGACUGAAACAAAGCAUCUUUACAGGAGAUGUGAAUGCGAGAAAGCAAAGAGAACUACAGUCAGGGUCUCCGCUGGCAUGGCCCAAGCCCACCGUGGCAUGAUCCAGAGAGACGAGUCAGCAGAGCACUAUGGGCAGCUCCCAUACUCUUCGCAGAUCAACAAGCCAGCAUAUAACCCAGGGAGAUAGAUAAUAGUGAUGCUGUGCUCUGUAGAGGGUAGUGGCAACAGUGGGAUUUCUUCUGGAAUAAAUCUGUAGUGAGCCAGAUGUUUCUGCUGACUAUAUUACUUCUGACAGUGUAUAAUCCAAAAUUGUUUCCUUGGCCUUCCAAAAAGUUUUAUAAGCUCCCUAACGGCUGCAAUAA